UACAGAGGGUGCGAGCGUUGUUCGGAAUUAUUGGGCGUAAAGGGCGCGUAGGCGGCGCCACAAGUCACUUGUGAAAACUCUGGGCUCAACUCAGAGCCUGCAAGCGAAACUGUGGUGCUGGAGUAUGGGAGAGGUGCGUGGAAUUCCCGGCGUAGCGGUGAAAUGCGUAGAUAUCGGGAGGAACACCUGUGGCGAAAGCGGCGCACUGGACCACAACUGACGCUGAGGCGCGAAAGCUAGGGGAGCAAACAGG
rnacentral:rRNA from 1 species